rnacentral:rRNA from 1 species
UACGUAGGCAGCUAGCGUUGUUCGUAAUUACUGGGCGUAAAGCGAGUGUAGGCGGUUUGCCAAGUCCGUUGUGAAAUCUCCCGGCUCAACUGGGAGGGUGCGCCGGAAACUGGCAAGCUAGAGUGCGGUAUGGGAGAGUGGAAUUCCUGGUGUAGCGGUGAAAUGCGUAGAUAUCAGGAGGAACACCGGUGGUGAAGACGGCUCUCUGGACCGUGACUGACGC